rnacentral:lncRNA from 1 species
GAGCCUCUGUCUGAGGACUAGUCCCUGGUCCUUCUUGCUAGGGAGGUGGCUAGAGGUCCACGGUUCUGUCCCCGGCCGGCCCUAGGAACGUGAGGGGUCCGGGUGUGCAAAGAGCUGCUCACGGCGGAGACAACCUGGAGAAUGUGGCCUCUUUUGAAAUGAAAUAGCAGAUUUGAAAGAAGAGGAUAGUUCACAAGAGAGUUCAGAGCCGCAGGAUGAGGAUGAUAGCAGGAUGUGAAUUCAUCAUGGAUGUGAAUUCAUCAUGGAUGACGUGAAGCUUCUUAAUUCAUAACAUGGAAAAGGCAAGAUUGACGUUUUGGACAGUCCAGCGGUUUAAAACAGCCAACAAAUAAAUAAUCUAAAAAUAAAUACACUAUUCAUUCCUGC